rnacentral:tRNA from 1 species
GCCAGAGUGGCUUAAUGGUUUGAGCACUGGACUGCAAUUCUGGAGGGCAGGGUUAAAAUCCCUGCUUGGCCA